UCCCAGUUCGGAUUGCAGGUUGCAACCCGCCUGCAUGAAGCCGGAAUCGCUAGUAAUCGCGGAUCAGAAUGCCGCGGUGAAUACGUUCCCGGGUCUUGUACACACCGCCCGUCACACCAUGGGAGUCGGGAAUGCCCGAAGCCGGCGGCCUAACCGAAAGGGGGGAGCCGUCGAAGGCAGGCCCGGUGACUGGGGUGAAGUCGUAACAAGGUAGC
rnacentral:rRNA from 1 species